UGAUGAUGAUGAUAUAUGUGAGUGGACAAAUGAAAGUAGGGCACUCAAAAAUUUUAUUGGGAGUUGCAUGUAUGGAUCGAAACAGUUUGAUU